GACGAACGCUGGCGGCGCGCUUAACACAUGCAAGUCGAACGGAAAGGCCUGCUUUCCCUUGUGGAUUGCGGGUACUCGAGUGGCGAACGGGUGAGUAACACGUGAGUGAUCUGCCCCCAACUUGGGUAUAAGCCUGGGAAACUGGGUCUAAUUCCCGAUAGGACUGCAGGGUGGUGCCUGUGGUGGAAAACGAUUUUCUAGUGGUUGGGGAUGAGCUCGCGGCCUAUCAGCUUGUUGGUGGGGUAAUGGCCUACCAAGGCGGCGACGGGUAGCCGGCCUGAGAGGGUGGACGGCCACAUUGGGACUGAGAUACGACCCAGACUCCUACGGGAGGCAGCAGUGGGGAAUAUUGCACAAUGGGCGGAAGCCUGAUGCAGCGACGCCGCGUGGGGGAUGACGGCCUUCGGGUUGUAAACUCCUUUCGACCGCGAGGAAGCCACCUGGUUGGAAGGGUGGUGACGGUAGUGGUAGAAGAAGCACCGGCUAACUACGUG
rnacentral:rRNA from 1 species